GUGCCAGCAGCCGCGGUAACACGUAGGGGCCAAGCGUUGUCCGGAUUCAUUGGGCGUAAAGAGCUCGUAGGCGGUUCAGUUAGUCGGGUGUGAAAUCUCCGGGCUCAACCCGGAGGGGCCACCCGAUACUGCUGUGACUCGAGUCCGGUAGGGGAGUGGGGAAUUCCUGGUGUAGCGGUGAAAUGCGCAGAUAUCAGGAGGAACACCGGUGGCGAAGGCGCCACUCUGGGCCGGUACUGACGCUGAGGAGCGAAAGCGUGGGUAGCAAACAGGAUUAGAUACCCGCGUAGUCC
rnacentral:rRNA from 1 species